UACGUAGGGUGCGAGCGUUAAUCGGAAUUACUGGGCGUAAAGCGUGCGCAGGCGGUCUGUUAAGACCGAUGUGAAAUCCCCGGGCUUAACCUGGGAACUGCAUUGGUGACUGGCAGGCUUUGAGUGUGGCAGAGGGAGGUAGAAUCCACGUGUAGCAGUGAAAUGCGUAGAGAUGUGGAGGAAUACCGAUGGCGAAGGCAGCCUCCCUGGGCCAACACUGACGCUCAUGCACGAAAGCGUGGGGAGCAAACAGG
rnacentral:rRNA from 1 species